GACGAACGCUGGCGGCGUGCCUAAUACAUGCAAGUCGAGCGGACGGAUGGGAGCUUGCUCCCAGACCGUCAGCGGCGGACGGGUGAGUAACACGUUGGCAACCUGCCUGUAAGACUGGGAUAACUCCGGGAAACCGGGGCUAAUACCGGAUAACUCUUUCCCUCACAUUAGUGAAAGCUGAAAGAUGGCAUCUCGCUAUCACUUACAGAUGGUCCCGCGGCGCAUUAGCUAGUUGGUGAGGUAACGGCUCACCAAGGCGACGAUGCGUAGCCGACCUGAGAGGGUGAUCGGCCACACUGGGACUGAGACACGGCCCAGACUCCUACGGGAGGCAGCAGUAGGGAAUCUUCCGCAAUGGACGAAAGUCUGACGGAGCAACGCCGCGUGAGUGAUGAAGGUUUUCGGAUCGUAAAACUCUGUUGUCAGGGAAGAACAAGUACCGGAGUAACUGCGGGUACCUUGACGGUACCUGACCAGAAAGCCACGGCUAACUACGUG
rnacentral:rRNA from 1 species